UUCCGAAUUCUUCACUAAGUUGAACAAGGAUGUCGACAUUUUGAAACCUUGAGUCCUCCAUUCCAAACUCUCCUGUAUAAAGGGCAAACUCGCUGACACAAAGUAUGCCGAUGGCACAAAGAACACUGAAACACAACAAGGCAGAAUAAAAGCUUGUUUCCAGAGGAAGAAAAAUCACAAGGGUCCAUGGAAGUGGCAAAAUUUACCAUUCCUACUUCAACACACUUGAGAAACAUUUUCAACUGAGAACUUAAUGUGGUUUGUAAGGCCACAAGACACUAUUACACUGGCCUUUCUGAAAUUUAAAGCACAUCAAAAAAUGCCUUUAAAAAAAGCUUUACUUUAGGCUGAACAGAAUUAGACACUCUAGGAGAAACAAGAGCAUGCAGCAAGAAUUAGAAAAGCCACAGACUGAGCUACAGAUACUUGGCUAUUCAGCCCUACAAUGAUGAGGUUUCUUCCUGGGGAUGUGCUUUGAAAUAAAAGUAACUUUGGAAUUUA